UGGAAAAAUUAAAUGGGACAAUUCAAAGAGCUCUGAGCAAAGUGGUUUGUCAGCAUCCAGAAAGCUGGGAUGAAUAUUUGGAUCCAGUUAUGUUUGGUCUGCGGUCCCAAAAAACAAAUGACGACAAACUACUCGCCUUACUUUCUAAUGUUCGGCAGAGAGGCACGCUACCCCAUUCAAGUGCCAGAACACUACGAGGUUGAUGGCACUGUGGAGGAUGUGGUGGGGAUGGAAGUUACGGCACAAGACCAUAACGAACAAGACCAACUAUUUGAGCAAGUUAGAGAGCACAUUAGAAAAGCGCAGGAAAAAACAAGGCACCCAAAAACAACCUCAGGGACCACACCAACUGUACACAUUGGAGAUCUUGUUCUAAGAGAAAAUAUCAGGUCUCAACAAAGAAAGGGAGGAAAAUUGAACCCCAAUUUUUUGGGGCCAUACAAAAUUGUGGCGAUUGAGGGCAAGACAGCUGACCUCCAGGAUGAGAAUGGAGCCUUGGUCCCCAAAAUAAACAUUGACCACCUAAAACCAUACAAAGAAAAUAAACAAA